CUUUUUGGUGAGGAGUUUAGCUUAGACUACUCCUUAGAUAUAUUUUAUAUAUCUUUUUGAUGGGUUGUAUAGAAUUGCUCUGAUUAGGUUUUAUCGGGUCGGGUUAUUCGAUUGAAUUGUAUUAAGCCCGUGAUGGCAUAUUUAACUUUGCUAAUCCUAUCUUUUGUUGUAAACAUAAUAUCCUUUGUUGAUAUGGCCUAGAGCCUAGGGAUAUUAUGUGAACAAUUAUG
rnacentral:lncRNA from 1 species